GUGAAUCAUCAAAUUUUUGAACGCAAAUUGCGCCUUUUUCGGAAGGCAUGUCUGUUUGAGGGCACCAUUUAACAAAUAAUGUGCAUCUCGUGUGCACACGUUGAUGAGCUUUCCAAGAUUAUGUAUUAUUAUUUUUGGUGGCGCAUAAUUAAAUAGUGCGAAGCUUUUUUUCAGAUCGAUUGUAGUAAAAUUUUUUCUUGCUUGGGUUGUGAAAAGCGUGAUCGCGCAAAUGGGUGUGGCUAUUCUACUAACUCUUCACAAAC
rnacentral:misc_RNA from 1 species